UGAGCAAGUCUUUCUUGAUCAUUUCUGUGGUAUAGCAAAGUCUUUCUUUAUCAUUUCUGUGGUAUAGCAUCUCUAUGUAACUCUCUCUCAGUGUUUGUAUCUGCCGAGCAAAUCUCACAAGCGCAGCCAAAAAUGCUGCUUACAGCUCUGAGCAGUUGGGUUUUUGUGGAAAAGAGGAGGCUCAUUGAGGUGUUUCCGGAGCAUGUUCAGAAACUAUGGAAUCUUUGGGAGCUAAGAGUGAUGGUUUUGAUCAGCCUCACCUUGCAGAUUUCACUUAUUCACUUUGGCAGCCGCAGGAAGUAUAACGUCAAAACCAAAAUAAGAGUCUUCCUCUGGUUUGCCUACCUAAUGGCAGAUUGGGUAGCAACUGUUUCUCUUGGUGUCCUCUCCCAGAACCAGGGAAAGUCCAGCAGCUGCGAUGCCAAAGGGGGUUCUCCGGGAGGCGACAAACUAGACGACGAGCUCUCUGCUUUCUGGGCACCGUUUCUUUUGUUGCAUCUUGGCGGCCCAGACACAGUCACAGCUUAUGCUUUGGAAGACAAUGAGCUGUGGUUGAGGCACUUGCUUGGACUGGCUGUGCAAGUAGGUAUUGCGCUAUACAUCUUUCUUAUGGCCUGGAAGAUUAGCUGGCUUUCAAUUCUUACUAUUCCCAUUCUUCUUUCUGGGCUUAUCAAGUAUGGAGAGAGGACAUUGGCCCUGAGAUCAGCAAAUCGCGAAAAGUUUCGUGAUUCAAUGCUCACUCGUCCUGAUCCGGGACCCAACUAUGCAAAAUUCAUGGAGGAAUUUUCUUUGAAGAAAGCUGAGGGGUACAAAGUGAGUGCUGAAGAUGUUGAGGUUCAAGUUGGGGUGGAUGAGGUUCAUGUUGCAGUUGCCGAUGUUGGUUCCAAUUCUGAACCAAGCAUAGUGGUCAAAUCGCAUGACUUGUUCAAUACUUUCAAGCGCCUAUAUGUAGAUCUCAUCCUUAGCUUCGAAGAUCGAGAUGGUAGCCAAAUCUUCUUCCAGAAGCUUGGCUCUUCUGAAACUGCCUUCAAGGUAGUUGAGGUUGAACUUGGAUAUGCCUAUGAUGUAUUCUACACCAAGGCUCCCAUAAUUUAUACUCGCCGGGGUUGUUUCUUCCGUACCGUCACUUUCUCCUCCACCUGUCUUGUGUUUGUGCUCUUCCUGAUAAAUGUGAGGCACAAGCACGCACUCACUGAUUUGAUUAUUACUUACGUAUUGCUGGUUGGCGCCAUUAUCUUAGAGAUCUAUGCGUUGGUUUUGGUAAUUUCCUCUGAUUGGACGACACUUUGGUUGAGCAAAACAAGUUGGUACGGUAAAACACCCUCUUCACAGCCUCCAGGUAUCCGAAGAACACUCUCUUCACAAGUAACCAGUGUGGUUCAACAGGCAAAAAGGCAGAGGUGGUCAAAUUCAACGGCUCAAUUCAAUUUGCUUAGCUUUUGUCUCAAAACUAAGCCUUCAAUUCGUCGUGAAAGCCCAAAAUCUGUUUGCAUGCAGAAAGUGUUAGAGAUGAAGUUGUACAAAUUCCUAAACCAAAUCUCUGAUUACCUAAAGCAGUGGCUCUUCAGUCACUUACUGCACAAGUUGGAUGAAAAAUUGGAGAUGUUCUUGUACUUCACUCGUGAGCCGAUCUCCAAUGAGUUAAAAGAACUUAUUUUUCACCACUUCUUACAAAAAUCGCAAACUAAGGGAAAGCUUACAGAGCUUUGUGCCGGUAGAGGGGACCUUGUCCUUGAUCAGUUUAAGUUCCCUGAUUUCAUGACAUGGACAACAGAAGUGGAAUUCGACCAAAGCAUACUUUUGUGGCAUAUUGCCACAGAUCUCUGCCAUCACUCUGAUGCUACAAAAACUUCAGCCACAGAAUAUUUGCAUCGUGAGGUGAGCAUGCAAAUAGCAGAUUAUAUGAUGUAUCUUCUUGUCAUGUGUCCCUUCAUGUUACCUAUAGGAAUCGGACUGAUCAGGUUUCAAGACACCUGCGCUGAGGCCAAGGAAUAUUUUGAACAAAGAAAUCGCACGAGUUCAGUUAAAACUGAAGCUUGUGAAAUGUUGCUUCGCGUAAGCACCGAAGUAAAGCCCGCCAAAGUGAAGGGAGACAGAAGCAAAUCUGUAUUAUUUGAUGCAUGUAGCCUUGCAUCAUCACUUAAUAACCAAAAAGAAAAGAAGUGGGAGAUACUGAGCCAAGUAUGGAUUGAAAUUCUAGGCUAUGCCGCUAGUCAUUGUCGAGGGAAUUUCCAUGCUCAACAGCUUAGAAGAGGCGGGGAGCUUCUUAGUCAUGUCUGGCUCUUGAUGGCUCAUCUUGGAAUCACAGAACAACUUCAGAUAUCACAAGGACAUGCGAGAGUGAAGUUGAUUGUGAAGUAGCAAAAGCUUGUCUCAAGCAACGACAUAAGAAGUUUGGCAAUGGAGGGUUGUUAGCUCCAUUUGCUUCCUGCAGCAGACUACCAGUUUUAAGGACUCUUUCUGCUGCACAACAACAAUAAGUUCACUUUCUUCUUCAGGCAAAUUUACAGUGACCAUUGAUUCUUGGAACCACUCCAUCACCAUUUUGUUUGCCAUGCUGCGACUCACAUAUAUAAACAUAUAGUAAAACAUCAUACAAAUGAACAAGACAAAUUUCAUUUCAUAAUAUACUAAUCACUGGUGCUGCAAAUUUUCUGAUCAACUUUGAGGAUUGCAGCAGGGGUUUCAAAAUAGAAGAAAAACAAGAAAGGUUAAUGUUGUUUCAUUUUUUUCGCUGGGCAAGUGAACCACAUGAACUGAUGUCUCUGAUACAUAUCUGCUUGUUGGACUUGAGGAUAAAGUGUUAGAUUAGAUUCCUUGCUCAUGAAGGGUGCAGUUAAAGAGGAGAACAGAGAACAUAAAGACGAUUCGCCAAAUUACAUAAUUAAUAUGUGAUGCAGAGGAUAGAUAUUAUUGACCUGUUUUUCAUUAUUAUUUAAAGCAAAAGAGACUCAGAUUUCUAUUUUAUGUUCCUCUGGUUCUUAAAACUUACUGUCUGUGUUUCUUCUGAAAGGUGUGUUUCAUGUAAGAGUUUUCAUCACUUCUCAAUUUCACAUGAAAUGCUAAAAUUCAAGUGGAGAUACAGAAGCUUGAUACAGACUGAAUUGGUCAGGUUAUGACAGCAUCUGAUUUCCAAUUUCUGGAGGUUCUGCAUUCCUCUAGGUUUUCCAGCACCCGGUCUCAGAAUUCAAAGUGAACCAAAUGUACCUUGUUCAAAAGCCCAAGAUAGACUUGAUACAGAUA